CCCCUAGAUGUUCUGGGCCGCACGCGCGCUACACUGACGAAUUCAACGAGUUUAUAACCUUUGCUGGGAGGCAUGGGUAAUCUUGUGAACGUUCGUCGUGAUGGGGAUAGAUUAUUGCAAUUGUUAAUCUUCAACGAGGAAUUCCUAGUAAACGCAAGUCAUCAGCUUGCAUUGAUUACGUCCCUGCCCUUUGUACACACCGCCCGUCGCACCUACCGAUUGAAUGGUCCGGUGAAUUCUUCGGACUGCGGCUUUGACUCGAUUUCGGUCGAGGCGUUGCUGCGGGAAGUUGAUUAAACCUUACCAUUUAGAGGAAGGUGAAGUCGUAACA
rnacentral:rRNA from 1 species